UGUUGAACGUGAAGGAUAACGUUGCGUCAGCAACGGCCCGUAGGGCAAGGCGAAGCCGAGUCAUCCUGCACGACCCGCCA
rnacentral:sRNA from 1 species